AAUCAGGCUCAGCGGGGAGGAGCGUGGACCAGCGACGGNUGAUUUGCUGCGUUGACGUGGUGCUCUGCUUGGCUGUGUGUCGGUGUGGCCCGCCCCCCUGCAGAGAGGUGGCGCGGGUCCGCCGUUGAAGCGAGGGGAAC
rnacentral:SRP_RNA from 1 species